GUAGGGAUGACUUCGUAGCGUGGAGUGACGUCGCACGAUCCGACAUUCGCGCGGCGACGGUGACACGGUACAAAAGACUUGCACGCGGUUCUUCACAGAACAAGGUUACGUGUCGUCACGACCGUGGUAUCGCGCGGCCAGAGUAAUAAUCCGCAUCCAGUUCUCGCGGGUAGAUACACAGAACGAGAGGCGUGUUUCCCAGGCUGUGCAACUGUGCGGUGCUAUCCCCGUUUCUCCGUCUUCCGCAUUCCUCGCUUCGAUUCGGAGUAAAUCUGUCUUUCUCUCUCUCCCACGCAUUUCUCGUGCACGGCGACUCGUGCCAGAGCCGUGUGUAUCGACGGCCCCGCGAAGACGCUGCGGCCAGACGAGCAGUCGGAGAGCCAAACGAGCGGCGGCCGAAAUCAUCGUGGUUUCACUGAAGAUGAGCUAAAGCAGAACGUGGAUAAAAGUGAGACAGGUCAGGAGUAGCCAAGAGGCCGAGACAUCAUCGACGAGUUCUCUUAAGGUAUGCAGCGGGGAUCCAACGGUCGAUGACGUGAAUCGACCGACUUUUCGGUCGACAGCUGCUGGCGUGCAAAGGACGCUGGCUGAAUGGCCGGCCAAGUAUUUGACUGCGACUGCCGGAGGACCGUCUUGCAACGGUGGUACCGGAUGACCACCGUCUAAACUGUGUUUCCUCGGCGAAACUCACCGAACGAUAAUCUCGUCAAACGUCGGUCAGGUACCUAUUCGUCCGCUUUGAUUUCCACCGGGUUCUUGCUGACGGAUGUUGUUCGUGUACGGAUAAACUCAGCCGUCCGCAAAGUUUAUCGUUCGGACUGGUUAAUCACCCGGUUGUUCGAUCAGCAUCGCGUUCACCACGUCGUCGGUAUCCUACGAGACUCGCGAUAGAAGAGAGGCGAGAAGGAAGAGCUCAUUGGAACAACAUCUCGUCGAAGACCGUCGUUGGCCGACGUAAUCAAGAACGUAUCCAACGGAGGGGAAACACAAACAGAGAAGAAGAUCAUCGGCAGAGGGGAAGCUGGUUUACCCAUUUUAACAUCGAGUGCAAGUGGUUCACGAGGAGUAGGAGGAGCAGAGGUAUCCGCGAGGCGGAUGAGGUCGGGGUGGAUGGUGAACGCUGGUUCCACGCGCGUCGCCCUUGAUCGAGAGGAGGACAGCCACGUGCAGGAUCGUCCACGAUUAUCAAUAUCACGGGGAUCGCGUUGAUUUCCCCACCAACAGCGGCCACAUGACUUGACGAUCGCCCCACCUACCGCUGUUCGUCGUUGAACGAAGGCGGCGACAGUGGCAGCAACGUCACCGCGACGAGGGAACGACGACGACGACCGACGACGCCGGCAACGACGGCGACGUGGAAGGAAGAGAAGAGCACCAGAGAGUCGUCACGUCAGUCGGUGGUAGUAGUAGUAGUAGUAGUUGUAGUCAUUGGGCGGCAGUAGCGGAGGCUACUUAACGAGUGACACAGGCUGCCGGUGAUUCAGUUGGCGGCAGUCGAUCGGAGCAGGUAGGUAGAAGUGGUAGACGUGGUGGCUGUGCUGGUGCCGUUGUUGUCGUUGUUCUUGUUAUCUUCGUCGUCGCCUCGUACGUCGCGUCGUCGUCGGUAGCAGUGCUGGUUUUCGGUGGAUAGUGGAUAAUAGUGUCGCGUGUGAAACUGGAGCCGCUGGUGGGUACCAGUCGCAAUCGAGAGGCAGAGCUAUCAUGUGCCCGUUGAGAAUUUUCGGACUGGCCAUCGUCGCGCUGGUGACUUUCGUUGGACGAGUGGCAGCGUAUAGUAAUCAGUGGGCGAUACACGUCGAGGGAGGAUCGGACGUAGCCCAGCAGGUCGCGCGGGAACAUGGAUUCCAGUAUCUCGAU